UCUUUUCCUUCUUCUCUCUGUUUUCCUUCCAAUCCUCUCUGUUCAGUUCUUUGUGUUAGAAGAUGGGUAUACCUAAUAGAUCAAAGGAACGAAGAAGUCUGAUAGAUUCAGAGGCUAAAGUGAAGAUGGGUAAAACUAAGAAAUCAAAAAAACGGCGAAGUAAACCACGAAUUGAGAGGGUGAUCGUAGAAAGAGGAGUCUGCCGAGGGCAAUAGACACCAAGUGGUGUCGGAUAGUUCAUGAGUACGAAUUAGAGCUGGCCAGAACUGGUAAGCAGGGUUUUCUAAUGCCGCAGAAUCUGGUGGGCAGGCUUCUCCAGAUAACUCACGAUAAGCAGAAGGAUCAGGCUGGUGUUCUAGUGCCUGAAGCUGAAGGAAGGGGGGCCAGAGAAGCAGCAAAUGAAAGACAAUGUUUAGUUUAAUUUAUUUUGUGGGUUUGUUUAUGUUUAAGAUGUCUUUGGAUGACUGCAUUUUAUAUUGAAAAUCAAACUAUGAAAUGUUUAAGACAAUGUUGAAUCCAAUUUUCUUUUGAUUACAUUAUAAGAUUUUUCUUAAA